AUCCAGCUGAAGAGUCCCAAAUAGGACGAGGUGGCGCGCGUCCUGAAU
rfam:Schistosoma mansoni strain Puerto Rico chromosome 2, complete genome